GGCGGGGGAGGAGAUCACCACCACGAGGCGGCUCCCCAAACGGAGAGAGAAGAUGGGGCCCAGCUUCUGAGAGAGGUCGUAGUAGGUACGAUGAAUAGGGAAUUUGAGGAGGUGGAGGUGCCCUAACAGAGGAAGAGCCGCCGCCGGACUCGGUGGGAGUUUUCUUUGCCCGGAUUUUGCGGAAAACUUGAAGGCUAUAAGAACAAGGAAGAGAGAGAGUAGAGCAUAUAUCCACGUAAUUGUUUCCAUGCUUAUUGAUUUAUUGUUAUAUGCUGUGUGUAUCUGUAAUAUAUAUAGAGAGAGUGAGAGAGAGAGAGUGUGUGUGUGUGGGGUGGAUGAAAGGCGGGGGCCCCUUUGCUCAGCUGUAUGCGGCUGUUUUUCAGAAAAUCAGAAAGAGAAAAGAAAUUGUUUUUUUAUACCUAAUUUGACCCAUGGUCAGUCAUCUUUGACCGGAUUUUUCAGAGCUAUGAAAAUUCAAAAAAACUACAAGUCAAACUGAAUUUGAGCUACACCAUGAGAACUUGAACAUGACACUUUAAGGGGAUGUUUGGUUAUGUUUCUUAUAGGAAUUUCUAAUUUUCAAAAUUUCUGAUGGAAAAAAGUAGUUUAUUGGUUUUUGUAUAAAAAAUGAGAAUAUGUUUGGAUGAAUGAGUAUUUUUUAUUUUAUGUAGGUGUAAAAAUGGAAAUAUGUUUGGUUGUGGUGAAUUUUCUCUACAAAAGUACGCGCAAAAGUAGAAUAUAAUGAUUGAAGAUGAUGAUAGUAAUGAUGACUAUUAUUAUUAUUAUUAUUAUUAUUAUUAUUAUUAUUAUUAUUAUUAUUAUUAUUAUUAUUAUUAUUAUUAUUAUUAUUAUUAUUAUUAUUAUUAUUAUUAUUAUUAUUAUUAUUAGUAGUAGUAGUAGUAGAUACAUAAAUUGUGAGGAAAGAAAGUGUAGAUAUUAAUGAGGAGAGAUAAAUGAGUUGAUGGAAUAAAAUAUAUAAGUUAGUAGUAAGUUUUAGUAGGUUUGAAAAUUGAAAAAAGUAUGAAUAGUGUAUUUUCAAUAGAAAUUUGAUAAGAAAAAAAUGGGAUUUUCUGGAUAAAAUUGUGAAACAAACAUGAUCUCGAUUUUAUGAAUAGUAUAGAACUGGAAAUUGGUUUUGGAAAUGAAACCAAACAUAUACUAAAAAUCUUGAUAUUCGGAAUAUGUUUAUAAUUUUUUAAUAAAUAUAAUUUUCUUAAUGUAAAUUUUCAUAAUUGAUUCGGGCCCAGAUAAAAGCUCGAACUCAGACUCGAAUUUUUCGUGUUCGAACUUUCUGACGAACCGAGUUUGAGCCAGUUUUUAGUUUUUCGUGAGUUCACGAGACGGCUCGCGAGCCUUAUUUAUUAUUAAUUUUUUUUAUAUAUUAUAUUUUAUUUAAAUAAUGUAUAAUAAUAUAAAAUAUUAUAGAAAUAAAUAAAAAUAUAUAUAAUUACAAUUAAUUGUUUAUUUUGUAAAUUUAUAAAAAUAAUUUUUAAUAAUAAUAAAAUAAUAUUAAACAAAAAUCAACAAAUAGCUCGAGCACGACAAAAUGGACACGAGCUCGAGCUCGGGCCAAAAAGAAAGAACUCGACGUGCUCGAGCUCAAGAAAAGAGGCAAGUUCGGCUCUUUCACACGAGAGUCCAUCUCGGGUGACUGACCCAAAGAUAAAUAAUGAAGAUUUGGAAGUGAAAUUGGCGAAAGAGUCAACUUCAAUUCGCGAUCUAGCUAAGUUACUGGAAAAGUAAAGCCCAGUUUUCGAAAACUCAUCUCGAAUAGUACUUAGCUCUAGGAGAGGAGUUCGUAAGUAGUCAUACCGGGGAGACUUCUUGGCCGGCUUGGAAGGCACGUUGCGAGAUCAAUUUCAUAGCAUCUAAAUAACCCAUUGAGAAAGAAUUUUUAAGGAGGAGAAUCUUGUUGCUUAAGGAAAAUAUAUUCUAUCCCAAAGAUGGACUUAUGAGAACCUAACCCUAUGUAUGUAUGAUGUAUCCGAUAGACAAAAAUUGAGGGCAUGACAUAAUUCGGAAAAUAGAUACCAAAAAGAACUAUAGUUGUCUGUUUCUCUUAACAAUAAUUGUCUCUUCUCCAAGGUCCGAAUUAGAUAGUCGUUAAUAGAAAGAAGCUUAAUUUCACUUUACACCCUUGAAAUAACACUAUUUGGACACUUUCCAUCUUGAAAAAUAAUUUACAGCACUUUGCACCUUCAAAACAUGUUUAAUCAUUUAAAGGGCACUCUAGUAUAUUUUUGGGUCAUAAUUUUUUGUCAUUAACUUAGGGGUUUGCUAUUAUCAGUGCGGUUUUUACCACUCGCAGUGCAAAAUAAUUCAUUUUUUUUUUCCAAAUCUUAUCCAAAUUAAACUUCCUCUCAAACACUCUCAACUUUUAAUUCUCGAAAUUUUUCAAAUUCAGCAAUUUUUCAACCAAUAUCAGUUAGAGCACAAGUAUUAUCGGCAUGGAUGACAACGACUUCGAUUUUGAGGUGAAAAUACACGUUUUUUGUUCAUUUCCAACGUUUUUAGACAUUUCGUGUUAUAACACACGAAAUAUAUGCUUUCGUUUCGUGUAAUACUAUACGAAAUAUGUCUUAAAAUCGUUUGUUGUUUGUUUCGUAUAAAAGCAUACGAAAUUAAAGCUUACAUUUCGUAGUAAAACGUACGAAAUGGAAGCUCUUAUUUCGUAUGUUUUUACACGAAAUGGUAGCUUACAUUUCGUAUGUUUUUCUACGAAAUCCCUUAAAUAUUGUCUUUUAAUUUCAAAUAUUUAUGUAGGAACUAAGAGAACAAUCUCAUGAUCAAAGUCACUUCUUUGAACGUGAUAUUGUGUGUGAUAGUAGAGAAGCAUUAAUUAUGUGGGCAAAAGACACAACAAUUAGUCAUAAUCAUCGACUGAUUAAUCAUUGUAAAUCAGAAAAAUAUCAUGUUUUAACGUGUGCGAGAUAUUAAUCUGGACGACACGUACUAUUGAAGAAACGUUCUUGUCCGUUCAGGUUAAUGGACAAAAAAUCAACGGAGGAUGGAUUAUGGCGAUUGAGUGUGAGUAAUGGUAAUCAUAACCAUCUGCCAGGUAUUUGAUAGUUUAACUUAUGUUUAAAUAUGUAUUUGUUUUAAUUUUGCAUUUUAAUGAUUAAUUUAUGUUUUGGAAUAUUUAAAUUUGUAGCGUUGUGUUUUGCAUUUUUUUAUGUUUAAACUAUGUUUUUUGAAUGAUUAAACUUGUAAGGUUGUUUGUAAGGUUGUUUGAAUGUGUAUUUUAAUUGCUUCAGUUGUACGUAAGUUCUAAAUUCAAAUCAUAAAACUAGUGAAUUAAAAUACAAAACAAAACAACAAGCAAGUAAAUUAAAUAGUUCGUAAUAAUAAUAAACAAAAUUAGUAAAAUAAUUAGUUCCUAAUAAUAAUAAAAAUAAAUUAUUAAUUUAAAUAGUUCCUAAGAAUAAUAAAAAUGCAUAGUCCUAAUAAUAAUAAAAAUAAACUUUCAAAUUAAAUAGUUCAUAAAAAUACAUAACUAGCAAAAAAAACCGAUAAACUACCGCCUCGCUCUUCUCGACGGCUGCACCUCAUGAUCGUCAUCGUCGUCGUCGUUGUCCUGGUCGAUGCCAAUAUAUCGGGCGACGGGCUGCAUAAUAUCUUCAAGGUCGGCACGUAGAUCGACAACCUGCUGCAUCCAGUCCUGUCCAGUGCUCCUGGUGAUCGGGUACAAUGCACGUACUAUCUGGUAAUAAGCCGGCUGAUCUGGUGGCCUCACAUUCUCUCGAUGCACUGGAGUCGAGCCUACGUCGGGGUUGAUGAUCUUCAGAUGAGUCCGAUCGGUGUACCACUCUAUGUAGUGCUCGUCGACUUCCCCCCGUUGUCGUGUCGUCUUGUAUACGUUGGCACGAAUGGAAUGAGCCUGGACCAUGUCCCACAUACCACUCGGAAAUGGGUAGUUGACUUUGUACGAUGUACAUCCUUUGGGACCGCGUGAACAUGGCUCCAUCGAUGGAAUCAAGCCGCGCGGAAUAUCCUGAACCCACCCGAACUGUCGGACGCAACGAUCAGGCAUAUACGGCUCUACGACCCACAUGUCGUGGAUUGUGCCAUGAUACAACGUACGAGGGAUACUCUCGUGUAUAUCUCGACCAUACGGUAGCCACUCAACCUAAAUAGAAAACAAUAUAAAUACAUAAAUCAAAAAAUUCAUAUUUAAACAAACUACAAACAUAAACCGAAAAAUUCAUAUUUAAAAAAAUAUAUAAACACAUAAAUCAAAAAAUUCAUAUUUAAAAAAAAAUUAAAUACAUAAAUAUAAAAAACUUACAUCAUCCGCUGUCAUAUAAUCAAGUAAACUUCGAAUAUGCUCGAGCGUGCCCGCUUUUGGCAGCGCGUUCCACCUCUUGCAUCGAGGCUGAAACUCGCAGUACUGUUCGCUCUCCUCCGGCGGCUGGAAUCUCGGGAAAUACUCGUAUAUCCAUCACUGCAAUAUUUUAGUUAAAGAUAUUAAAAUUUAUAAAAAUAUAUUAAAAUUUACAAAAUAUAUUAAAAUUUAUUAAAAUAUUUUAAAAUGAAUAAAAUAAGUACAAAAUAUAUUAAAAUUUACCUGAAGAAAGAAAGGUGGUGCAACCCGCCAAGCUCCUCGACUGUGCUCGGCUGCAUAUACCCAAAUCCCUGUAUAGAUUGGCCAAACAUGCCGAACCCCACGAAUACAUGCCGACAUCAUCAAGCACUGAAUCUACGAGCACGUGCAUAUACCACGACUUCACCCGAUCACAUGUCUUGUCGGUGAAUAAAAUCGAUCCGAGGAGAAACACCAUAUAUAUCUGAACUCGGCGUCUCAUGGGCGUGUCGGGCAUCAACAACUAUCCAUGUAUCAUCCUCCAUGUGGGGCCCCCACGCUUCCAUGACUCGUCAAUCUCCUCAAAAUCGAGGUGUAAUACCUCGGACAGCAAAUACACGCAGUUUGUCCUCUCGAUGACCUCAUCGUACCUAGGCGCGACCACCCGUCCCUCCACAUUGGCACCUAGAAUCAUCUGGACAUCGUCAUAGUCAUCUCUCCCCACGGCAUAUGGAAGCUGUUUGUAAAUAACUUCGGGUUAGGGGAUACAAACUGGUCAUCCGCAGAAAAUGCUUGUCUACGGAUACAUCUAUGUCUUCUAGGGCAGCUGCUAUCUUCUCGUAAUAGAAAUGGUUCAGGGAGUUGAUACGGGUCUCCAGUCGUCCAACCGGACGUUCCUGCAAUCAUUUAUUUAGCAACCUUAUUAAUUAAUCAACUAUAAAAAUAUUUUAAUAUAAGAUACAUAAAUUAUAAUAUAAAAUUAAAACAAGUAAUUAACUUACUUCUCCCCUCCAAAUAUAUGCCGCUACGUGCGACUUGAAACUCGUAAUCAAAGACGGAUCCCGCGGGCCACCGGGAAAUGGACCAUCUAGCACAUCCGGAUUAACUCGAGUAUGAGCUCGACCACCACGACCUCCACGGCCCCGUCGUCGGCAUCCAUAACCUCCACGAACUACAACCUCAGUCUCGUGAACGGGGUCCACAGCAUCCUCCUCCUCUACCAUAGCACGAGAAGACCCAACAUCGGGAUCUGCAACUGAUGAUCUGGCUUCACCAGCUCUCUCAGCCUCUCGUCUACGUCGUGUAGACAUAGUCAUGCGCUCGCGCUCGCGCUCUUGAUGCUCAGCCUCUUCACGAACUGCUCGCAUAAUUGCCUUUGAUUUGCCUUUGCCUGCCAUAUGUUAAAGAAGACGCCAUUAACGUCAGUAUAAAUAAUAAUAAUAAAUAAAACAAAGCUUAAAAUAAAUGAAAUUUUCCAGUUAUUUCGUGGAAAAACACACGAAAUUAAUGCUUGCAUUUCGUGUUUGUGUUCACCAAAGACAAGCACUAAUUUCGUGUGUUUUUCCACGAAAUAACUGGAAUAUGGCCGAAACUCUUACGUUUCGUGCAAAAUCUUACAAAACAAAAGCUCACAUUUCGUGAGAAAUCUCACUAAAUAAUCAAAUUGAAUAAUACCAGAAUAAUCCCUUUAAUGAUGACGUCAGUGUAGGAUUCAGGGUCUGAUUCUUGGAAAGAGAGCAAAUGAUCAAUCAUGGUAUUUGUGUUCUUAUUGGAUCUGUGUUCAUCUAUCAAGCCUUGUAAGAAAUCAUCCAGUUUCCCACUCAGCUUCGUCAAAUUCUUCUCGAAAUUCUUGUAAUCAAUCCAUCUCAGCACCGGGAAGAAAUCCACCGGAUUUGACGCGCCGCCGUAGGAGAAAGCUUCCUUUAUAAGCCCUCGAAACCGCUCGGCCUCGUCAUUCUCCUCGCCGAAGUAGCGUUUUCCGGCAACCAUUCUCAUGAUAUUGUUAAACGUGAGCUCCGUAAAAAGGGGCCUGAGUUCGACUCGGGCGAAAUCUCCUAACGAGUUGCCACCGAGCUUCUCCAGCAUACGUUUCACUUCGUCUUCUCUGAUUGAUCGGAACGUGUUCAGACGCGCCGACGAGAAGAUUUCGACCGUCGUCAAGCGGCGGAGGUUGCGCCAGUGGUCGCCGUACGACGAGCCCACAACGGUGGUGUAGUUGUAGCCGAUGUACUUUCCGAUGAGGAAACGGGGCCUGUUGGCUAAAACGACGUCGUUCUUUGUGAAGCACUCCUCUGCGGUGGCGGGGGAGGAGAUCACUACCACGAGGCGGCUCCCCAAACGGAGAGAGAAAAUGGGGCCCAGCUUCUGAGAGAGGUUGUAGCAGGUACGAUGAAGUGGAAAUUUGAGGAGGUGGAGGUGCCCCAACAGAGGAAGCGCCGCCGCCGGACUCGGUGGGAAUUUUCUUUGCCCGGAUUUUGCAGAAAACUUGAAAACGAUAAGAACAAAC
rnacentral:lncRNA from 1 species